GCGGCGGGCGACUGCCGCAGGUCCGGAUCAGGUAGUGCGUGCCGGACCCGAUAUUCAGCAGAAUAAUCUGAUCGCCGCACCCUUCCGUUCCAACGGUUGGGUGCGGCUUUUG
rnacentral:sRNA from 1 species